AAUCUACACUUAUCGAGGAUUUUUGAAGUAUCUGUGGCUGGAUUUCACUCUGCUUGUUUCGUCAUUCAAUGGAUAUACCUUGCUUGUAAAGUGGUUGUCAUAUAAUUUUGUUCCAAACGUGUUUCUACACGUCUUUUCGUCCAAGGGUACUUCAGACGGGACUCAAUGGCCUCAUUUAGAAACGCUAUUACGGAAAUAACCGAAACAACCUCCUUCAAAUGUUAUGACAGAAAUCAUCGGAACCGAUCAUUGUCCGGAAGCACAACUCUCACUUCGCUAAAGGAAGUUUCUGGGUGAUUUGGAAUCAAAGCUAAAAAUGGCUUUGUCAAAGACUGACUGGGCUAUAGGCGCCAAGGUAAAUAAAACAUUCAAAACACUCCCUCCGUGUGCCUACAC